rnacentral:ncRNA from 1 species
UCAGAUCACUCCACUAUAUGGCUGGUCCGGAUAAAAGAAAAGGAGAAGAACCGCCGGGCAUGUGGUGCGGCAGUGUGGAGACCUGUCGUAAUGCGAUGCGGAUGAAGACGCCGGUCGCGAGAUGACACAUUGGGGAGCCAGUGUCAUUAAUGUCCAUGAAUAUGGCA